GACGAACUGUCCAAACGUUGUUCGGAAUCACUGGGCUUAAAGGGUGCGUAGGCGGUCUGGUAAGUCGGGGGUGAAAUCCUGCAGCUCAACUGCAGAAGUGCCUUCGAUACUGCCAGUCUGGAGGGAGAUAGGGGUGUGCGGAACUUCCAGUGGAGCGGUGAAAUGCGUUGAUAUUGGGAGGAACACCAGUGGCGAAGGCGGCUCACUGGACCGGUUCUGACGCUGAGGCGCGAAAGCGUGGGGAGCAAACGGG
rnacentral:rRNA from 1 species